CAGCAGCCACGGGAAUACGUAGGGUGCGAGCGUUAAUCGGAAUUACUGGGCGUAAAGCGUGCGCAGGCGGUCUGUUAAGACCGAUGUGAAAUCCCCGGGCUUAACCUGGGAACUGCAUUGGUGACUGGCAGGCUUUGAGUGUGGCAGAGGGGGGUAGAAUUCCACGUGUAGCAGUGAAAUGCGUAGAGAUGUGGAGGAAUACCGAUGGCGAAGGCAGCCCCCUGGGCCAAUACUGACGCUCAUGCACGAAAGCGUGGGGAGCGAACAGGAUUAGAUACCCCUGUAGUCCCUGUCUCUUAUA
rnacentral:rRNA from 1 species